GGACUACCGGGGUUUCUAAUCCCGUUCGCUCCCCACGCUUUCGUGCCUCAGUGUCAGAACUAGCCCAGUCACCCGUCUUCACCACCGGCGUUCCUGACGAUAUCUACGCAUUUCACCGCUCCACCGUCAGUUCCAGUGACCUCUACUAGCCUCAAGUCCGCCAGUAUCCGAAGCAAUUCCUUGGUUGAGCCAAGGGCUUUCACAACAGACUUAACGGACCACCUACGCACCCUUUAAACCCAGUGAUUCUCAGUAACGCUUGGGGCCUCUGUAUUACCGCGGCUGCUGGCAC
rnacentral:rRNA from 2 species